CCUGUACUGAGGACUCCACAUCUGACACACUACUCCAGGAGUGGAUCUCGUUGCAGAAAGGAGCAUUUCAAUUGGUAUGCAGCACCAGCAGAGGCAUUAGAGCCACCCGUAUUAACUGCGAGGAGUGAGCAAUUAAGUGAACUUCAGUUACACAAGUCAACAGAUCUCUGCUUGAGUACAUUAGCUGAGGAUUUAGCGAAUUUCCAUUUGCAUCUAAUCAGGCGCAAUUCCUUCUUUACUUUUAAUGUGAUGUGUGCUUACUGGAUCCAAGCCCAAUUUUUUUUUAUUUUUCCUUUAAGUGCCUUGAUACAGAGUGCUGAUGGUACAUAAACCAUUUGCAGGCCAAUUGCUGUCCUGUGGUCAGCGAUACAAGACAAGGCUCUGGGUGGAUGUACUGGGUCAAGUCUUCAGAAAUUAGAUGCUUCUGUCUUAUGGGAGUCUGGAGGCUCUUGUGGGCUGUCUGGCUGUGUAGAUCCUGUGGUGGAUCUUGCGGUGAUCAAGUGCUAAAGGAGGGUGGGUGUCUGAGAAUCUGUUUUAUGGGUACUGAUACAGUGCGUUGCCCUUCAUCUCCACAGCUCCCACUCUGAUUUCAUGGUACAGAAUGUUGGGAUAAAAUGUCAGUCUGCACCUGGGAAUGG